rnacentral:ncRNA from 2 species
AUCAGUGACACGGGGUGCCGCAACCGCGGCUGAGAACAGACCCGUCGAACCUGAUCUAGUUCGUACUAGCGAAGGGAUGUCGCAAUGAGCGAUC